rnacentral:piRNA from 1 species
UGAGCAGGGCUUUUUAUUAUUUGUCUGUUU